UUGUGAAAGUUUGCGGCUCAACCGUAAAAUUGCAGUUGAUACUGUCAGUCUUGAGUACAGUAGAGGUGGGCGGAAUUCGUGGUGUAGCGGUGAAAUGCUUAGAUAUCACGAAGAACUCCGAUUGCGAAGGCAGCUCACUGGACUGCAACUGACACUGAUGCUCGAAAGUGUGGGUAUCAAACAGGAUUAGAUACCCUGGUAGUCCACACAGUAAACGAUGAAUACUCGCUGUUUGCGAUAUACAGUAAGCGGCCAAGCGAAAGCAUUAAGUAUUCCACCUGGGGAGUACGCCGGCAACGGUGAAACUCAAAGGAAUUGACGGGGGCCCGCACAAGCGGAGGAACAUGUGGUUUAAUUCGAUGAUACGCGAGGAACCUUACCCGGGCUUAAAUUGCAGUGGAAUGAUGUGGAAACAUGUCAGUGAGCAAUCACCACUGUGAAGGUGCUGCAUGGUUGUCGUCAGCUCGUGCCGUGAGGUGUCGGCUUAAGUGCCAUAACGAGCGCAACCCUUAUCUUUAGUUACUAACAGGUCAUGCUGAGGACUCUAGAGAGACUGCCGUCGUAAGAUGUGAGGAAGGUGGGGAUGACGUCAAAUCAGCACGGCCCUUACGUCCGGGGCUACAC
rnacentral:rRNA from 1 species